CUUUCUUUGCUGGCGACCGGCGCACGGGUGAGUAACACGUAUCCAACCUGCCCUUUACUCGGGGAUAGCCUUUCGAAAGAAGGAUUAAUACCCGAUAGCAUAAUGAUUCCGCAUGGUUUCAUUAUUAAAGGAUUCCGGUAAAGGAUGGGGAUGCGUUCCAUUAGGUUGUUGGUGAGGUAACGGCCCACCAAGCCUUCGAUGGAUAGGGGUUCUGAGAGGAAGGUCCCCCACAUUGGAACUGAGACACGGUCCAA
rnacentral:rRNA from 1 species